rnacentral:rRNA from 1 species
AGAGUUUGAUCAUGGCUCAGAACGAACGCUGGCGGCAGGCCUAACACAUGCAAGUCGAGCGCACCUUCGGGUGAGCGGCGGACGGGUUAGUAACGCGUGGGAACGUGCCCUUCUCUAAGGAAUAGCCACUGGAAACGGUGAGUAAUACCUUAUACGCCCUUCGGGGGAAAGAUUAAUCGGAGAAGGAUCGGCCCGCGUUAGAUUAGAUAGUUGGUGGGGUAACGGCCUACCAAGUCUACGAUCUAUAGCUGGUUUUAGAGGAUGAUCAGCAACACUGGGACUGAGACACGGCCCAGACUCCUACGGGAGGCAGCAGUGGGGAAUCUUGGACAAUGGGCGCAAGCCUGAUCCAGCCAUGCCGCGUGAGUGAUGAAGGCCUUAGGGUCGUAAAGCUCUUUCGCCAGGGAUGAUAAUGACAGUACCUGGUAAAGAAACCCCGGCUAACUCCGUGCCAGCAGCCGCGGUAAUACGGAGGGGGUUAGCGUUGUUCGGAAUUACUGGGCGUAAAGCGUACGUAGGCGGAUUAGUCAGUCAGAGGUGAAAUCCCAGGGCUCAACCCUGGAACUGCCUUUGAUACUGCUAGUCUUGAGUUCGAGAGAGGUGAGUGGAAUUCCGAGUGUAGAGGUGAAAUUCGUAGAUAUUCGGAGGAACACCAGUGGCGAAGGCGGCUCACUGGCUC